UGCAUCUACUUCCACCACAAAAGCCAGAGUGGCCCCAACUUUAAGAACAGGCUUCAAGAACGAGGAAGAACAAGCUUGCUAAGGAGAGCCGGUCUUUCCCAGUUCCCUGACUUAAAAGAUGCUGACGCUGUCCAGAACUCUUCCCUGAAGAGACACAGCUUGGUGAAGAGUUACUACCGCAAGGUGACUACGAGAAGGGUGCAGACCACCUGACAAGCGCAAUCGCCGUGUGCACACAGUCUCAGCAGCCGCUGCAGGCAUGGACCAGCGUUCCAGACGCUUCUGACCAAACUUCCACCCAUGAGUCAGAAACUUGCAAGUGCUCAGAACCUGGCUGAAGAUGGUGUA
rnacentral:lncRNA from 1 species